UAUAACUAGGGAGACAUGGAAGUCUCGGAGGACAAAAGGCAAAACCUCAUCUGGAGGUUUAGACCACCAAGCAAAAGAAGCAAAGGCACCAAAAUUAGUCAUCUUGUCUAUCCAACGUCUCCCUCUCUGAAAAAUAUGAGUAAACAAACCUCCAUUUGCUCAAUCAAGAGUAAACAAUUUUUGUAAAGAUCAAUCAAAGUCCAAGGGAGAGAAAGAAGACCAUUACAGAGAUGAAGAAUUCUAAGCAUAGAAUCACAUUUGAUCCUGAGAUUCAGCCAUUCCCUCUCAUAAGCAAGCUCAAUGAUCAAAAUAAAAAUCAUAAGCUCAGAGAAAAAAGUCGAUUGCAUUUGCAAGGGGCAAGCAAAAACAGCCUAACACAGCACCAGAACUAUGGCAUAUAAUUCCACCACAAGCAGCUAAACCUGGGUUCCCACGAGACAUGCCAUCAGAGUUAGCCUUGAUCCAUUGAGCCGGCAUUUUAGUAGUUUAUUUAGUAAAAGAUAAUUAUAAAGCAAUAAUAAAUAAAAAAAAUACAUAACCACGAUUAUAAUCCAUAUAUAUAUAUAUAUAUGGACAGGGGCGGAUUCACCUUAGGACCAGUGGGGACUUAAGCCCCCACUGGAAAAAUUUUUUUUUUAAUAAUUAAUUUAGUUUUCUUAAAAUUCUCAAUAAUUUUUUGUAAAGCCCCCACUAAUUUAUAAUCAAGCCUAUAAUUUUUUCUAAAGCCCCCAGUAAAUCACUAUGAUUUUUUCUAAAGCCCCCAGUGAAUCACUAUGCUGUCUCCGCCCCUGUAUAUGGAUGCUGUUCCAAUCCGGGAGUCCCGGAUUGGAACAACAUCCGGGAAGAAAUUUGUGGCCAUUGGAUUCAAGUCCAACGGCCCCAAAUUCCUUCUUUUAAUUUUUUUUGGGUUGGCUGCACAUGAUGGGCUCCACCAUGUGCAGCCACAGGUGGCCUUUGGAUUUGAAUCCAAAGGCCACCAGCCUCCCUCCCGGACGUUGUUCCAAUCCGGGAUCUCGGAUUGGAACAGCACUCUAUAUAUAUAUAUAGAGAAAUGUUCUAAUCCGAAAUUUUAAAGUGCGGGAACGUCCGGAAAAACGCAUAAACCGUGCGGUUUAAGCGCUUUAAGUUUUAAGUCUUUAAAAUCCCGCGGUUUUAAAGUUUUCCCGGACGUUUCCCGCACUUUAUGAUCCCGGACCAAAAAACUACUAAAUAUAUAUAUAUAGAGAAAUGUUUCAGUCAAGAAUUUUAAAGUGCGGGAAAAUGCAGGAAACCUUUAAAACCGCAUGGUUUUAAAAACUUAAAACUGUAAGUCUAAGUUGUGGGUUUAAGCGCUCCUGGUUGUAGGCAUUUCCACUCAAGUCACCACCAUUAAAGCCCCCAGUUACUUCUAAGUACCAAAUUCAACUAAUUACAGCUUUUAUACUUUACUAUUGACUAAAGUUUCCAUUUUGAUAGUUCUGCAAAUUACAGAAUGCUAAAUUCUUGGCACAUUGAAAUAGAUUGGACCCGGCCACGUAUAUUCACACAAUGCCGUAACAAGCUAAUUUAUGAAAUUUUAGUAGAUAUCAAACUUAUUUAAAAAAAAUUAAUUAAUUCUACCAUCAAUUACUAAUAUUUAAUCGCAAUCAUUCGAGUGUUGUAUGAUUAUGAGUUUAGAUCUAUACUUUUAGUUCGCAAAACUAUCAAAAUGUUUAUCUGCUUAAUAAUAUAUUUAUUUAGCUUUAAAAAAUCUUCAGUUCCAUGAUCUCUAUCUAAAUGAGCUCCCUUUGUUAAUAUUCUCACGGUACGUAAUAUUAACUUGGAAACACGCUGAUUCAAGUUAAUAAUUGCAUAUACUCAAAGAUGAAAUCCAGCCCGAAGUUUAGCUCCAAAGAAAAUAAGUGUUUUAAAGCACAUUCACUAAGAAAAUGGUUUGCAAUCUAAUUAAUGUUUAUUUACAAUUAAGAUACUUACGUUUAUAACCAGCUCAUGUCCCUCAAUAAGGAGGAUACUGCAUAAAUUCUUGAAUGUAUGUGACGAUCUAAUUGUUGAAUGAUUCAGACAACUCAAAAUGCCUUCAACUUCCUGAUAAAAUCAUGUAGAGUAAUACAUGUUGCUUAAAUUUAUUUUUUACUAUAAAUAUGAUAAUAUUACACCAUCUAUUAAAAAAUGGCAUAUCAUACACUGCAUCUUAAAUUACAAACUACGUAUCUCAACCUUGUAUUUGUAGUAUCACACACUUCAAAAACUUGUACACACACUCUAACCGUGCAUAUCGACUUUUCAUGCAUCGAAUGCAAUUAGACGUCACGUAUAAGUGAUUUUGAAGUUGAUGUAUGACCUACUUUCACACUAUACAAAGCAUCACUUUCUCUCUUUAGCAAAAAAAAUAUAUCUAAGUUUUAGAGGUUUGCAAGAUCUUAUAAUAUGUAUCCACUAUGUUCAAAAUUUUCUACAAAUACAUUUGUCAAAUUUUGCAUUAUCUAUAUUUGAAGAUUUUAGGUCCUUAAUGUCUCUCAAUCUUCAAUUAGGUCCCUAUAUUUUUUCAAUUACCAACUAUAUUCUUGACAUAAGAACGAUAAUAAAAAAUAAAUUAAAAAAUAACAUUUGGAUUCUAUUACUAUAAUACACAUAUUGUCUAUUAAAUUUUUGUAAAAUGUCAUAUUUAUCCUUCAAUAAUAAAUUUAAUCCGAUGUGUUUACUAAAAGCUAGGAAGAAGAUCUAUGAUAAAAAAAAAAAAAAUUAGAUUAUCUUUCAACAAUAUAGUUUAAAUUUUCAUCAGUGACUAAAGUUAGAAACGUUAAAAACCUAAAUAUAAUUCUCUCUAAUCAGGAAGAAUGAUCUAAAUUUGUCCGCAAAUCUGGAAGUGGCACCCUCCUUUUGACAUGUUGGCAAGUUUAAUUUAAUUUUAAUAAAUUAAAAUCUCAAAAAAAAAAAAAAAACAAAUCAACAACUUCAACUUCUGCCAGCUACAACCCUUUUUAAGUGUCAGAUAUUUAAGUUAAUGUACCAAUACGCUCUUGUCUCUGUACAAAGAAAUUCGUACAUCCCUAAAAUGUUUGGAGUACCCAUAUACAAUAAGACCCUAUUAAAACAAAUGUGAGUAAAAUUUUUCAAUUUAUCAGUGACUAUGCUUACCUUGGGCAAGGAGAAAGAUCAUUCAGACUUAAAAAGAUUCUGCAGAAGCAAGCAUAUAUGUUUUGAUCAUCAUGAUGACCUCAUAUCCUACAAAAAAUUAACUUAAAAAAUGCCUCCGAAGAGAGAGCUUUUUGUUGCUUUAAAAUACUUUCAUACAGAUAAUUAAAAAAAAAAAAAAAAAGAUACAAAAAACUAAAGAAAAUAUCACAAAAUUAACGGGAAAAGCCUUCUAAAUAUACAAAAAACAAAAAGAGAAGAAUUUGCUUCGUUACAUACACUGCUAGCUGCAAGCAAUAGAUUCCAAAGAAUCCCAAGGGAGCGGUAACGCUAUUGCCAUAUCAAUGCAUAAAUAUCACAAUAUAUAUUUGGGACAAUAUUUUUACAGAAGACCCGAAGUAAAUAAGGAGUUGGGCUCUUGUAAUGCUGGCGAAAAGGCCAAGAAAAAGAGGACAGCCAUAAUCAAAACAGGAAUAAGAAGAAGGAUCAAAGGUGGUGGUGGCAACGGUGGCAGCACCAGUGGCAACAAUAAAAGUAACACCAGCAAUACAACCAUAACUAUGAUGGAUAAUCUAGCUGCAAAAGAAUCCAGCAUCAAACUUUGCAUAGCAUUGCUUAAUUUUUUUAAGGUCUUGAGGAGGAAUUCAAAUGGAGAGUAGGAUGUGAAGACGUUGACGGCGGGGUAACGCUAUUUGUUUUAAGCAUUAUGAGUCACCGUCAAAGCGAUCCAUCCCUCUAUGUCCCAAUUCAACUAACCAAAAACUUAUUACAUUUUUUAAUACGUGUGUGAUUGAGACUGAU
rnacentral:lncRNA from 1 species